CCCUGGUGGCUCAGAGGUUAAAGCGUCUGCCUGGAAUGCAGGAGACCCAGGUCCUGAUCCCUGGAUCAGGAA
rnacentral:tRNA from 1 species